UACGUAGGGGGCUAGCGUUGUCCGGAAUCAUUGGGCGUAAAGGGCUCGUAGGUGGCCAACUAAGUCAGACGUGAAAUCCCUCGGCUUAACCGGGGAACUGCAUCUGAUACUGGAUGGCUUGAGUUUGGGAGAGGGAUGCGGAAUUCCAGGUGUAGCGGUGAAAUGCGUAGAUAUCUGGAGGAACACCGGUGGCGAAGGCGGCAUCCUGGACCAACACUGACACUGAGGAGCGAAAGCCAGGGGAGCAAACGGG
rnacentral:rRNA from 1 species